rnacentral:rRNA from 1 species
ACCAGACUCCUACGGGAGGCAGCAGUGGGGGAUAUUGCACAAUGGGGGAAACCCUGAUGCGGCGACGCCGCGUGAGUGAAGAAGUAUUUCGGUAUGUAAAGCUCUAUCAGCAGGGAAGAAAAAAGGCGGUACCUGACUAAGAAGCCCCGGCUAACUACGUGCCAGCAGCCGCGGUAAUACGUAGGGGGCAAGCGUUAUCCGGAUUUACUGGGUGUAAAGGGAGCGUAGACGGCAAUACAAGUCGGAAGUGAAAUACCCGGGCUCAACCUGGGAACUGCUUUGGAAACUGUAUGGCUAGAGUGCUGGAGAGGUAAGCGGAAUUCCUAGUGUAGCGGUGAAAUGCGUAGAUAUUAGGAGGAACACCAGUGGCGAAGGCGGCCUGCUGGACGAUGACUGACGUUGAGGCUCGAAAGCGUGGGGAGCAAACAGGAUUAGAUACCCUCGUAAAC